rnacentral:rRNA from 1 species
ACGCACGCUGGCGGCGUGCUUAACACAUGCCAGUCGAACGAAGAGCGACGGAAGCUUGCUUCUAUCAAUCUUAGUGGCGAACGGGUGAGUAACGCGUAAUCAACCUGCCCUUCAGAGGGGGACAACAGUUGGAAACGACUGCUAAUACCGCAUACGAUCUAAUCUCGGCAUCGAGGAUGGAUGAAAGGUGGCCUCUACAUGUAAGCUAUCACUGAAGGAGGGGAUUGCGUCUGAUUAGCUAGUUGGAGGGGUAACGGCCCACCAAGGCGAUGAUCAGUAGCCGGUCUGAGAGGAUGAACGGCCACAUUGGGACUGAGACACGGCCCAGACUCCUACGGGAGGCAGCAGUGGGGAGUCUUCCGCAAUAGACGAAAGUCUGACGGAGCAACGCCGCGUGAGUGAUGACGGCCUUCGGGUUGUAAAGCUCUGUUAAUCGGGACGAAAGGCCUUCUUGCGAAUAGUGAGAAGGAUUGACGGUACCGGAAUAGAAAGCCACGGCUAACUACGUG